CGGCAGGAAAACCAUGAGUUUUGCUUUUCUCUGCAACUCUGUAGUAAACCUCACCAAUGGUGGCACCAGCUUGAAUCCAUGCGGCGUUGUUUUUGAUAUCAACAUUGACUGACCGAAGCUUGGCAAGGUCUACAACAAUGAAAGGUGUUUCAAUCUGGGAUACAUAAGAGAGGCCUUCAUAAUCAUGGCCUCCACUUCUGACCCUGAGGUGUAUUUGAAGCUUUUUUGAGCAAAUAACAGCAGCUUGGACAUGAGAAUCAUGCACUGGUGUGAAAAUAAACUCUGGCUUUGGCAUUGAAGGUACCAAAUACCUGAGGUUUUGUGCAGAAGAUUCGAGGACAGUAGUGAAUGUAGACGUAUUUGGAGUGAAAAAGGCUUGGGAGAAUGGAACGGAAGUCUGAGAAUAUUUUGAGAGGCAUUUGGUUAAAUUGUCUUGUAUUGAAGGUGGAGUCCGAGUAUGUGCCCAUGAAGCUGAUAUCAGAAGGAAAAAAACCAAUGAAGAAACUGAAAAGUUUGGAAGCAUCAUGCUGCCUUGUUCUCAAGUAUCUUGAAUGGUGUUGGGGAUAUAGCUUAGUGUCUUGCAUUGCUUUAUAGAAGUAUGAAGGUCUGUCACCAACACCAACGUGUAUUUGACCUAAUGCAAACGUCACGUGUGCACGUUUGAUAAACGUUGUUGAUCCAUUUCUAAUUAAUUUAAAAUUUUGGGAUCUAAAAGUUGUGUAAAAUGAUGAGUGAUGCUAAAAGAACCCUAAAAUUAACUGAGUACACCCUAUAAUCUACGUACACCCUAACAUUUAAAUCAAAAUAUAAAAUUAACUAAGUACACCCUAUUUAAUUACCAAAAAUACCCUUGGUACACCCUAAUACACUAUAUCACAUCUAUUUUGUCACGUCAUAUUUUAAUUUCUUCUAAAACUUUUAUUCUUCACAUUAAAAGGAGUCAAUUUGAACAAAUUUGGGUUUUAUUUGUUCUGCAAAUUCCCCUUUUUUUUUUUCCCUCAUCUUAAAGGGGUUUUGAUUUAGUCUUCAAAUAACGAAUUUGUUCAAACUGGUUUGACAACACGCCAUAUGGGUGUAAUAGUUACUGCAAACUUGAUUCAAAUGAAAACUUGAAAACUAAUUUCCAAAUGCCUUCUUAUAUUUGAACUUUAGAUCCAACUAAUAUCUUCAAUGAUUGUUCUGAAUAGUUAGAUGGUCUUCCACUUUCAGAUUUGGUCUCUUAAUAAUUUCUUUAAACUUCAUGUCUAAUGGAGGAGUUGUUGGGCAGCGAUGGAGGGCUGUUGGUUAGCAAAGGAAGGGGCAAGCGAACAAACAUUCAAUGACACCUCUUUGUACUACCAUCAAUGUUCGUUGCGUUAUUUGCCGUCGACAUCAAGCAAAACGAAAACUUCUCUACGUUUGAUUAGGGUUGGAUAUGGUGAGUAGGGUGUACUUAUUAAAAUUAUAUUUGUUUCACAAUUUAAUAUAUCUUUUUUGGUCAUUUUAUAUUUGGGUAAAUUAGUAAUUCAAUAAAUAGUUUGGUAGUAGGGUGCACUCAAUUAAUUUUAGGGUUCAUUUAGCAGCACUCAAAAUGAUCUAUCAAGUUAGUUUACAUGGUGCAUAGUGCGGCUGCAACUAUAUAAGAGCAUCUCUAAGGGAGAUGUCAAAUGCAAAAUGUUAAAUUUGAAUUUGAUGACUUAUGUGACAAUUUGACACUUUGGAAAAAAAAUUAACUCCACUCAAAAUGCCAAAUAUCAUAUUAUUUUAUUAUAUUUUUAAAAGCAAACGGACCCAUAUAAUGCAUAAAGUUUUAAAAAAGAAUAAGUAAUAGUGGGGUUUAUGACUAAAAAAAUAUUAAAAUAAUAUUUGACAUCAAGCUUUUAGAUAUGUUAUUUUUGACAUAUCUCUUCUUGCUUUCAAAUCUAUGUAGGGUUUGACUACUCGGUUGGAGCAACUUUAACCUUCAAUUUUUGUAAUUUCAUAUCCACAUGUGGCAAUUUAACAUAUCAGUCGAAGAUGCUCUAAGUUUCUUUUUGUACUCAUUUGCCUGGCUGAUUUGUUGGCCCGUUUUUAGUAGUUUAAGCUUUUUUGUCCACUUAUUUUCUGAAAAUGUGGUGUUGAUAUCAUUCUGGUCAAUGGCCUCCACUUUGAGUUCUGUAUUUUGUGGAAUGGACGCCUACCAUACGCUUCUGUCAAUCAAAGCUUUCACUUCUUUCUGCUUUGUGUAUGUUCAUUGGUGUAAAAGACUCCACCUCCAUGUGAAAAUGGAAUUAUAGACUCUGAUAUAUUUGACUGACUCAGUCUCCACUAAGGAUCCCAAGUGAUUAGGCCUGCCUCAUUUUCCAGCUUUUGAACCCCUCCACGGGUUCUGUUAGAAAAAUAAAAAAUAAAAAAAAUCUGAUUUUGGUUUGAAAAAAAGCUUUUUCGGUAUUGAUAUUCAUCUAACAAGUACUAUAGUCAAAUGAUGAAACACCACUAGCUAUAAUGUUUUGACUUUUGAGAGUUUUCUUCAAUAAAAUCAACGAUUCAUUGAUUAAGUGAAGGUUCCAUUGAACCCAAUUGUUGGAGUACGAACCAACAGAUUCAUUCCCUUGUUAUUUCAUUUUCUGUCAAAUCUGCCGACAAUUUAGGCUAAUUUCUACUAGGGUUGGACACAUAUGGGUUCGGCCAAAUCUAGUCUUUUGACCUAUAAUCGAGCCAAACCGGCCAGUUCGGUCGACUGCAUCAGUUCACCAGUUUUUUUUUUAGCCCGCCCCUAAUGUAUACCAUCCCUCUAUACCAUAUACAUAUAAAAAGAUGCAUCUAUAAAUCAGCUAAAAUUAUGCCUCAGUACUAGUGCUACAGGCAUGAAGAGCCAAGUUUCAUAUAUUAAUGUAUCUGAAAGAAUCUGAAGCAUACUUCUUUUAAUUUUGUAUGGCUGUCAACUUCUUUUGUAUGUCUGAUUUUGGUAUUUUCUCCAGCAGUUUUUCCUUCUUGUUCUCUACCAGUUAACAUGUUGGUUAACUGCUUUCUCUCUCUGCAUAUGCGUAAGUUAUUUUUUAUAUUAACAGGUUCACAUUUGAUUAUUCUUACUUCUUGUUUAGCUAUCUGCGCUCCAAACAAAAUACUUUACACUUUUCAUGCAUUCAAGAGUUGAGUGUAGAAGUUGAAAAAUGAGUGUGAAAAUCACAACCAAAACUUGUGCUUUUAGAAAAGUUGGCUUAGCUAUUCCGGUGGCUGUAUGGUCUGGGCAAGCAUUGUCUUUUUCAGGUUCACCUUCUUUGCUCCGAAACUCCUCGGGGCCAAUUGACCCAGCUCUUUCUUUACACGGGUUAAGUCUUGCGGUAAAUUUAUGUUUGAAUUUUUAGUGUUUUUAAUCGCAAUGAUUCUUGAACGUAUAUCCGAGUUUCAUUUUACCCAUUCAAUUCGUUUGAAAAAAAAUUUCAUAUGAAAAUUUGAAGGACAUCCAUCAUAUCACACUCAUUCGAUGGCUCUUGAGCUAAAACUAUGUUUUGUGUUUUACUUUCCCACAUACUAUUUAUUUUAUUUUCAAGCCACAUCAAAUGUGUAACAUAUUUUCCAUAUUUAUAUUAAGUUUAGGUAAUUCAGGCUGCAUCAGUAUAAAAAGUUGUUUGUUGUAUAGACUAUGAAAAGGUCCAUGAUUCAGCUCAAUUUUAUGCAUAGUAAGUGCUACCUAAAGAAUCAAAGUUUGUUACCAGCAGGAAGAAUCUGAAAGAUACUUCAUGUUCUUUUGUUACCUUACAAAAUCAAUUUUGUGGGGUUUGUGUUGAAGUGAUAAUAUUCACUCAAAAAUAAAUAAAUAAAGUACGAGUUAGAAGAAAAAGGGGUGGUUGUGUGGAAAUCUUUUUAAAAGUGAAUAAGAGCAAUAAUAAUUCACCAACAUGUUGCUUUCUCUAUAAACAAAGGAAUCUCAAAGCUUUAAAUAUGGCCCACGGCAAGGCACUUUCUUAAUCAUAGUUCUAUGGCACGGUUUUCUUGUUUGCUCAAGGCCCCAGGUUUCGAUUAACUCAAGAGUUCCUGAUUAUGAUGACUUCUAUCAUUAUAAACAAAGCCAGGGCAAUGUUUUCCAACAGGCAACUUUGAUCAAAUGCUUCCAAGAUGUAUUCAACAUCCAAGUCUGUGGGGAUGUGUUGGUUGGAAGCAAAUUCCCAAAAGCACUCAAUUUAAGAAGGCCUCGUUUUGCUGUUGUUGCACAUGCAAAAGAGUUCAAUGAAAACAUAAAUAAUAAAUACAUAAAUAUGAGAAAAGAAAAGAAGAAUAGGCAAAGCAAAUACUCAAGCAAGCUUUGUCUUUGGUUUCUGAAGCAGGAAGACAAAUUGCUUUCUCUAUAAAUGAAGGAAUCUCAAAGCUCUAAAUAUGGCUCACGUUAAGGCACCUUCUUAAUCUGUACAUGUAAAGAAAGAAGUCAGCAACAUGGGAAAAGAAAAAAAGAAGAUGAAGAACAGGAAGAUUGUGGGCAUGUAGGUUACCACGUAAAAUCCCAUAAGGGAAGAAACAAUUUUUUUCUUCUUUUGAUGAUUCAGCAAACGGCUUUGGGAAGUCACAGGCUGGUCUGGAAAAGCAAAAGAAACAUAUCAAGAGCUAUCGUUUUAUUUUCUAGCUAUCUAAAGUUGCGGUGCACAUAUGUCUUUUUUAAAAGAAAUUCAUAUAGUCAAUUCUAUAUGGAAAAGGGGCUUGCUUUCCUUAAUGCUCCAGGGGUUCCAAUUCGAUAAGGAAGUUAAUUCAGACUUCACUUGGACAAUGAUUUUUAUCCUUGGGUGUCUUAAUCAAAUUAAAAGACACUUCGUUUUGGCACUAAGCCGUGAAGGAACUAGUUGGAGCAAGGCAAGGCCCUAAUCGAAAAUUAAUUAGGGCUGGCACUGUAUGUACCUCUCUCAAGACCCGAUGGUCUGAAGCUAAUAUUCUAAGAUUUGGCAGUCUCAUAUACAAUGGGCUCAUAAUUAGUCUCAUGCCCAAAAUGGACUUGUCCGUUAAAAAUUCAGUUGACGAACAAUUGGUGCAAAGUCUCAAGUCCGCAAAUUAUGGAUUAAUAAAGGCCCAUUAAUUCCCAAAUCAUCAAAUUGAAGCCCAAGUUGUACAAAACCACGUCAAAAGGCCCAAGUGGUAUAAAACCAUGCAAAUAAAACCAAAAUUUUGGAAUUACGUCGGUUUGAUCCCGUCAAGGGUACGUAAGUAGUCUAGCAUCCUAUUAGACACAAUCACAACAAAAUACGAAUCACUGAAUACAUCAACCAAAUUCCCAUAAAUCAAAUCAAACACAUUUUUAUGCCAAGUCUGAACUACGUUGGUUUGAUUCCGUUAAAGAUACGUAGGCAGCCUAGAAAUUCAAUCUAGAUGCAACCGUCCAAAUAAACAGAAUCCCUAGUUCUUUCUUAACCAAAUUCGCACACAAACACUACAAAUUUCCAUAACCAAACUAUUAUUUUAGUGGGCCAUUCACUCACUAAGAUUCCUUGAAUGACGAGUAGCUUGAUUUUCGAAAGGAAUAUGUGGCAACUUAAGAUUCUACUUAGGUGCAGCUGCAAAACCAAACACAUUGCUCAUGUUUCUUUAUCAUGAAAUCAAAGGGUGUUCUCUUAAAGUAAGGGAUUGUAAUUAAGAGAUUCUUUAAUCUUGAAUAGAUUGAAUUUAAAAGAUAAUAAAACCUCAUGGCUUAGAUAGUGAUGGUGAAAUUAUAAUGGGAUACUUACAUUUUCCCUCAACAGUUUGUAAUGUCUGCUUUUGGUUAUUAUGCUGUUAAUAGCUGCCCCUGCAUGUUCUAUCUACGUUUGCAGAUUGUUUUUGUGGUAGAAUGAAAUGGCUCAUUUUUUUAUAUGGUAAAUGAAAUCUCAAAUUCUUUCAUCCUACUAUUUGACUUGAACUCCACAAUUAAAGUUUGAUUAUUAGUUAUUACUUUUUAAUUAAUUGAAUAUGGAAAUUCGAACUUGAGACUUCUUACAGUAGUUGCAAAAAAAGUAUUAUUAAGCUAAGAUUUAGUGAUUUAAUUAUUUUCUAAAUAAAUUCAAUUUAUAAUUUUAUGUAAUAAGCUUAGUUUAUUUUUUCGAGUUUGCUAUUUGAUUAGAGCAUUAACCUUUUUAGGUUGGUUGGGCCUAAUCUUGCUCUGAAACUCAAUUGGGUCUAGACAAAGUUGGAUUUGGGCUGUGCAACGAAUAGAGGAAAAUGAGCGGGUAUGAAAUUAAUUAGAAGAUGUAAUUUGUAGUUUUUCGGGUAUUGAAUUACAUAUUUGAUGUGCUUGAUUCCGUAUGUAUUAGUAAACACAUUGAAGUCGGGAAUCAAAACAACGUUCCCAUACCUAUUCCAAUUAAGUAGAGUUGUAGUAAAUCAGAAUCCAUUACUGCAAAUAAAAAUAAAGGAAUAUUGGAUAAAUUAUAAUAGUAAAAGGUAUCUUCUACAAUAAGGGUUACAUUAUUGCAGACCCAAAAAAGAAAACAUUAUUGCAGUGCCCAUAUUGGUUACAUUACACCACUUUUCUACAACAGUUUGAAUGUUGAGACUAAACAGUCUCUUAAACAAAGCACACUGAUCAAACCAAUAAAAGCAUUACUUACCAUGCAGCAAACAUCAUAUCUUGCUCUUGGCUCUUCUUCUAUAGACUAUGUUGAUGAUGACCAGUUCUAGAUCUUUUAGGGAGUGGAAGAGGAGGGAUGCUCUGUUCAUGCCUGAAGAAGUUAUCUGGAUCAACUUUGGUCUUGAUCUUUAUCAAUCUGUUAAAGUUGUCCUUGAAAUACCUGUUACCCCAAGCACUUGCUUCAAUGAAGCUUAUGUUGCUCUUCUUGUUAAUCCCCAAAUCAAGAUCCCUAUAAUUCACAUAUGCUUGCCUUGGGAACAUUGUGGCAUAAGGAGCCAUGUAAUUGUAAAGCUUCCUAAUCCAAUCCAUGUGCUUUGCCUCAUCUUCAUGGGGAUCUUGCCAUGUAGUCAAGUACUGAAUUUUAAAGAGAAUUCCAUUUCUAUGAGGGAAGGGAAUUUCAGACUCUGAAAUUCUGCUCAUCUGUCCUCCAUAUGGAUUGAAAAUCACCAGAGGGCUCUCUUCCUCCAUCAGCCUUUUCCAAAGCCCCUCAAGCCCAGUUUCAGGAAUUGGGUCUUUGACAAAAUCUGAUUUUGCUUUGAAAUAGUUCUUGAAUGUUGAUUUUCCUUGAAGCAAAACCUCAGGUGGAGUUCCACUUGGGUACCCUGCUAUGUACAUCACAGAUUUGAGCCAACUUGUUUCUGUGCAAUCUUUUUUUGUCAAACCCAAUUCAGGGAAUUUUGUUUUCACAACAUCAAGCAAUCUGUCAGCAUCACCAAGAAAUUGGGCUUGGUAAAGAGUGGUGAUAGUUUUAGUGCCAGUUUUGCUGUCUUUUGAUGAUUGUAUGACGACCCUAAUGAAGAGAUCUUCAUCAAGCUCAGUAGCAGCUACUUGUUGCCAUUUAUGUAGGACCUUUGUUGCACCUGUUUCCAAGGUCUUAGCAACUGUAAAAACUGUCACCGUUGAUGGAACAGGAACCAGAUUUAUCUUCCACCAAAGGAUGAUGCCAAAGCUCGCUCCUCCACCUCCUCUGAUUGCCCAAAACAGGUCUUCUCCCAUGGCUGCCCUGUCAAGAACUCUGCCACUAACAUCAAUGAUUCGAGCAUCGAUGACAUUAUCAGCACCAAGGCCAUAUUUUCUCAUCAUGCUACCAUAUGCACCACCAGUUAUGUGCCCUCCCACACCUAAGCUUGUGCAAAGCCCAGCAGGGAAGCCAUGCGUUUUGCUCUUCUGUGCAAUUCUGUAGUAAACUUCACCAAUAGAGGCACCAGCUUGAACCCAUGAGCUGUUGUCUUCGAUAUCGACGAUGACCGAUCGAAGUUUGGCAAGGUCUACAACAAUGAAAGGUGCUUCAGUUUGGGACACAUAAGAGAGGGCCUCAUAAUCAUGCCCUCCACUUCUGACCCUGAGAUGUAUUCCAAGCUGCUUUGAGCAAAUGACAGCAGCUUGGACAUGAGAAUCAUGCAAUGGUGUGAAAAUGAACUCAGGCUUUGGCACUGAAGGGACCAAGUACCUAAGAUUCUGUGCUGUAGAUUGUAGGGUG
rnacentral:lncRNA from 1 species